CGCCUCCGGUUGCAGCAGACGCUGACCUGUGGCCUUGGCUCCAGCGUCAGAAUUUUUUCAGGGUGGGCAGGGCCAGGUGGUUGGGGGAGGGAGGGGCAGGAUGGCCCUUUGGGAGGCUCUGCCCCAUACCAGCCCCUGCUCUCAUGCUUCAUUCUCUGAGGGCGUUUGGCAAUUUGUUUGCUAUGGGGCAGAGCAAAUCCUUUGAGAAAUCGAAGUUUUGCCUCGGACUGUCUUGAACCUCUUCCCACAUGCAACCUGUCCCGAAGCUCUUAGGUAUUUUUUAGGAGGCGUGCUGUGAAUAGCCCGUCCCUCCCCGGCUGCAUUGGGCAACCCAUCCCUCUCCUUGGCCGGUGCUUAAUGACAGAGUUGGCAAGUUCAGGGUCCACGUGGGAACAUCCUGUUGGCCAGAGGCCUUAUUUCGGCAGACAGAUCUCUUUCAGGAGGAGAAAUCCUGGACUUGGGGGAGUGAGCCAGUUGGAACACCAAGAACAGAGAAGAGUGUGCUCUGAGUGGAGAGGAGGUUCAAUAAGGGGACACCAAGCAGAGCCCCCUUCUGGGUACCACUGUUGUGGAAGCAGUUUAUUGGAUACAGCGUCUGGGACAGCAGUUGAGAACUGGAAGAGAGGACUGACUUUGGGGUUGUGGGGCAUCUCGCAGGGAGAAUCUGAGCUCAAGAGAGGGAAAAGAUGGGUUCUUCUGAGUCUUUCUUUCUUCCCUUCCUUUAUGGUGCCACGAGACUAGGUCAGGGCAAGUGGUCUGCUCCCAGUUUGUCUCCCCUGGCAGAAUAAGAUUCAAGAAAAGCAAGGGGGCUCAGAGGAGGGGUAUGUGAGUGGCUCGCCAUUCUUGGCUGUGCUUGCCCCUCUACUUGUGUCAGCGCCCCGGGAAAGCUAAGGGGACCAGGCAGCCUCUUAGAGUCAUAUGUUUCCCUGAAGCUUACACGGGGCUUUAAAAGGGGCAAAAAUCAGACAAUGAGGCAGAAAAAGGGGGGGAGGGCAUUUUUAGUGUAUUCCGCAAACCCACAGAGGAGGAGGCCUUUUAACAAUAGCUAAUGCUAAAGGUCUCUGUUACUCAAUAAAACAAAUUAAUCCUCAAAAAUCUUUAUCGAGUGCCUACUUGGAAAAUCAACAGAGAUGCUUCUAAAGAAAGCUUUCCUAUGAGUCCUAAAGCAUUCUUUCUGGCUCUGCCUGCCUGCCCCUACCUCAUUAAAAUUCCAGAUGUCGGAAGGAGGCUACGCUCCAUUCCAUGAUUUAAGGCCCCCUUUGUUAGUUCAAAGCGACCUCCGCUGCCCUAAUGUGAAGUGCCAGGUUCAUGCCCUUAGCUGCUCUCCAUUCAGAAGGAUGCCAGGUGGGCCUGUCUCCAGAGCACUGUGAUUUGUCUUAAGACAAAGCAUUCUCUGGUGUAAUUGGGCCCCCAAAGUAUGUGUGAAUCUCUGGAAAAUGUGAUUUUUCCCCCCUACAAGGCCUGUAACUUUUAUCAUAUUCUUAAAAAGAAA
rnacentral:lncRNA from 1 species